rnacentral:rRNA from 1 species
GUCGAGCGAUGAAACACCUUCGGGUGUGAAUUAGCGGCGAACGGGUGAGGAACACGUGAAGAAUCUGCCUUCAACUCUGGGAUAACUCCGGGAAACCGGGGCUAAUACCGGAUAUGAGCCUUGAUCGCAUGAUCGGGGCUGGAAAGUUUUUCGGUUGAAGAUGACUUCGCGGCCUAUCAGCUUGUUGGUGAGGUAAUGGCUCACCAAGGCGACGACGGGUAGCCGGCCUGAGAGGGCGACCGGCCACACUGGGACUGAGACACGGCCCAGACUCCUACGGGAGGCAGCAGUGGGGAAUAUUGGGCAAUGGAGGAAACUCUGACCCAGCGACGCCGCGUGAGGGAUGAAGGCCUUCGGGUUGUAAACCUCUUUCAGUAGGGAAGAAGCGAAAGUGACGGUACCUACAGAAGAAGCACCGGCUAACUAUGUGCCAGCAGCCGCGGUAAUACAUAGGGUGCAAGCGUUGUCCGGAAUUAUUGGGCGUAAAGAGCUCGUAGGUGGUUCGAUACGUCGGAUGUGAAAAUCAGGGGCUCAACCCCUGACCUGCAUCCGAUACGGUCGAGCUGGAGUUUGGUAGGGGAGACUGGAAUUCCUGGUGUAGCGGUGGAAUGCGCAGAUAUCAGGAGGAACACCGAUGGCGAAGGCAGGUCUCUGGGCCAAUACUGACACUGAGGAGCGAAAGCGUGGGGAGCGAACAGGAUUAGAUACCCUGGUAGUCCACGCUGUAAACGGUGGGCGCUAGUUGUGCGAACCUUCCACGGUUUGUGCGACGCAGCUAACGCAUUAAGCGCCCCGCCUGGGGAGUACGAUCGCAAGAUUAAAACUCAAAGGAAUUGACGGGGCCCCGCACAAGCAGCGGAGCAUGCGGCUUAAUUCGACGCAACGCGAAGAACCUUACCAAGGCUUGACAUAUACAGGAAUACGGCAGAGAUGUCGUAGCCGCAAGGUCUGUAUACAGGUGGUGCAUGGGUGUCGUCAGCUCGUGU